CCGGAACUGAUGCAUCAAAUAAUAUAAAACUGUCCUAAGCACUCCCUACCCCCCCAAACCGUCUACCAAACAUCUCUCAGAACUCAGACAUAAUGCCACCCUCCGCCGACCGCCGAAAAUCACCCACGGCGACGGCUGGCGGCCAAUCUUGCCCAAGUUUACACCAAGUCAUCUCCUCACUCCCCUCUUUCCAAAUCCCCGUUCACUUCCCCUCAAACCCGGCCUGAGCUCCUCAAAUAUCCAAUCGAAGCGUCGCCACAGUUUCUCCGGUUGCGGCGCCACCUCCAAAUGCACCUAAAAUAACACUCCAUGAGCUCCUUCCCUCCCUCAUUCCAAAUCCUCACUAAUUCUUCGAAUCCCCUCGAAUCUUAUCGAGUAUCGGAUCAAUGGUGAACCCUAAAAUCCAUUUCAGAUUCACCCUGAGGUUAGUCGAGUGUUGAGAUAAAAAUAACACCUAUUCAGUCUCAGAUUGAGUCAAGAUUUGAGAGUUUGAAGAUUCAUCGCUAUUGUCUGUCCGAUGCAUUUCUUUAGGUAUCUUUCUUUGUCUUUUGUUUUUCAGUUUCUUUUCUCUCCCACUGUUAUCUUAUGCUAUUUUCUUCUUUUCGUCCAUUUUAUCAAAAUCAUCUUUGCAUGUUUCUUCUCAGUUCAAUGUAAGAAUUAAUUGUUGUUUUCCCUUUUAGUUUAUUUGGAUUCGUCGUAUUAGUUUUAUUUUUUGUUUAAGCUGUGUGCUAUAUUGAGACCAUUUGGUCCAAAGAUUUCAAGGUCAACUGGACCCUUGGCCCGUCUAGUUGAUCUGCCCAUUUGAAUGUUUGAACUGGAUUCUUGGGGCCGAAGGGAGGGGGAAUCAACCCAAGUUUCAAAGGGAUUCACUGGGUCAAUAUGACCCAUGUAAUUUUCUGAAGGUAAUUUUCAGAGUCUUAGAGGGUAAUUUGGGGAAAUUGGGAGUAGGGAAUCUUUUGGUAACUACUUAGGAAGCUUCCUAGAAGCUGAAAAAUAGGUUUACUUGGCAAGCAAGUUAAUACUUUAGGGACCAAGUAGUAAAAAUAAAAAUUAAGAAAGGAUUGAAAGUGAAAAUCUGAUUCUUAGGGCUGCUCUAAGUGCCUUGCCUAUAAAGGUAUUCUUACUUGAGAAGAAAGGCAGAAAGGAAGAGAUAAAAUCUCAGAAAAAAAUCUCUGAAGGUUCUUGAAGCAACUACAGAUUUUGUUAGGAUUUUGGUUAUUCUGAAUGGUCCACUUAAAAUCUCUGUAGCUGUGACGGUUUUUUUUUCUGAUUCUGGAUUGAAGAUGAGUUGAGUUUUGGGUAUUUUUUAAAGAUGGUUUGGACUAUUGUAGGAAAAUACCGUGUCAUUGCUGAUUUGAGCUGAUUUCACUGUUCAGUUGGCUUUACUGGUGCUAAUUUCUGCUGCUACUUACUGCUACUAUUCUUAUUGCUGAACUUCACUCCUUUGUUUCCUUUAUUUCCAUGUAUUGUCCUUCCCUUGACAUAUGAAAUGAAGAAGCCGAGUGUUUGUUUGAAAUUGGAAAUACAGGAGCAUUAGUUUUCAGCACACGUUUUGUUUUCUACAUUUUUGGAAAUCAUCAAAUGUCCUAGUUAGUUUGGUUCUUAUUGUGAUUAAUGCAUUUCUGUUUCAGUUUGAGCUCAUUUGCAAUUUUAAACGAAAUCAUCUGCUUCAAAUUUUUAGUGAUUUGCAUGAAUCUUAAUGUUCAAAUUUGUAUAAAAGGACUCUAAAAGACUGUUAUAGUGUAAUGUAGGUCAGAAUGUUUAAGUUUUAGUGUUUGCUUACUAUCUGUUGAUUUCGACAUCAUUAGUAUGGGUUCUAUUUAAAGGGUGUAAUUUAGACUCUUAUUGUUUCUUAGAUUAACCUAUAGGAUUGACAUUUAUCAUUCACAUGUCUCAAGCAAAAUGCCUUAAAUAGCAUGAAACUGUAUGUUAAAAAUAGCUCUAAAAAAAUCUGAGUUAAGCAUUGUUACUUGGUGUUUGUUUAAUUCUGAGUUUCUAAAAGGCUUCUAUGUUCGUCCCUGUUGGAAUAGUUAAAUCAGGAGUUAAAUUAGAAAUUUAUGUGCAUGAUUCUUGGGACCAAUUUUAAUUCCAAUGCGCUUAUGUGAUGUUUGUGACCUUGCAGGGACUCGAUCUUUAGUCCCAACAUCAUUUACUCAUAUUUACAAGUUGGGUUUUCACUUGAGGCUUAGUUUAAGCCAUUAAAAUCAAUGAUUCCGCAUAAUGCAUAAGUGAUAAGCUCUUGAGCCCUAUCUUGAAAAUAUCCGGAAAUUGGAUUUUUGGCUAAAUGUCCCUUUCAAUUCAAUGUUUGCUAAUUAGUUAGUAGGUUCAGAAUUCUUUUAAAUAAGUAGAAGACCCCCAAUUUCCAUUUAGUUAGUCAUUUGUUUUUUUUUUUUAUAAAUGUAAAGUCGUGAGGUGUGCCAUAUUAAGCAAGAUAUAGUUAUGACCCUCAAAGUUUAGUUUGAGUUCUCGUUUAAAUUUGGAAUUGAGGUGCAACGUGCUAAAUAGAAUCCCAAAUGCGUGGCCCUCAUUUAACUAUUUCUUUAAAAUCAUUAGAAUUCGAGGCGCGUCAUUUAGCAAAUUUCCAUGGCCCCGCAAAGUUAAGAACGCGUAGUUGCUUUAGGCGCGUUAUUUUAAUAAUA
rnacentral:lncRNA from 1 species